GUGCUCAGCUUUCACAGCACAUAUACUAAAAAUUGGAACGACACAGAGAUGAUUAGCAUGGCCCCUGCACAAAGAUGACAUGCAAAUUCAUGAAGUGUUCCAUAUUUUA
rnacentral:snRNA from 1 species